UACAGAGGGUGCGAGCGUUAAUCGGAAUUAUUGGGCGUAAAGGGCGCGUAGGCGGCUUUGCAAGUGACGGGUGAAAUCCCUCGGCUUAACCGAGGAACUGCCUGUCAAACUGCAUGGCUUGAGACCGGGAGAGGUGAGUGGAAUUCCCAGUGUAGCGGUGAAAUGCGUAGAUAUUGGGAGGAACACCAGUGGCGAAGGCGGCUCACUGGACCGGUACUGACGCUGAUGCGCGAAAGCGUGGGGAGCAAACAGG
rnacentral:rRNA from 1 species